rnacentral:lncRNA from 10 species
UUUUUUCUUCUUAGAGACAGGGUUUCACUCUGUCACCCAGGCUGGAGUGCAGUGCACAAUCUCAGCUCACUGCAACCUCUAGUCCUGCUCCAUCAUGGCAAUGUCCCUGCUCAUUCCUCUCAUCAAACAAGGGCAACUUUGUGAGAAUUUUCAUGAGAAGUCAUUCAGUAUCAUUAAGUAUGCUGAUUUGUCUCCUUUGCCUUUUUUGUUUCCCAAUCUUAAAAAUCUAUGAAGGAGGCGGAGCAUCUAGGCUGAGGCAGGAGAAUCGCUUGAACCCAGGAGACGGAGGUUGCAGUGAGCCAAGAUUGUGCCACUGCACUAUAGCUAGGUGACAGAGUGAAACUCUUAUCUUAAAAAGAAAAAAAAGAAAUCUAUGAAGGGCACCCAUUUUUCUUCAGUUAAUAAUGUAAAAAAGACUGCAUUAAAAUGUUUCAGUUCCCACGACCCCCAGUUCUUUAGGGAUGGGCUAAAUAGCUGGUAUCAUGGCUUACAAAAGUGUCUUGACCUUGGAGAUUAUGUUGAGAAAUAAAAUUUAUAUUUUUAAUUUUUAUCUUUUAAUUCCAUUUUCCAUGAACCUUUUGAAGUCCCAUCAUAUGUAUGUUGCCUAUAGCUUUCCAAGUGAUUUCACAUAAAUUAUUUAUUCCUUACAGUGCUCAAAUAAAAAAUGAAAUUGAGGGAUAGAUACAGUAAGUGAGUUGUCUAAGAUUACAUAGUCUGAGAGAAUCAGACUGAGACCCUAAACCAACCCUUCUCUCCCCACAUCCAGCACUCUCCUCACUGGCAUCACGUAUGAGAAGACUGGAUUGGCCCCCUCUACAAUUAUAAUAUUCUAUGAUUUUUUUGUUUCUGAAGUGAUUUGCCAUUACCUAUUUUAUUUGCUUUUUCCUCAAAAUAUAUUUUAGGGUUACUAUUUUUAAUGUCUUUUUUUUCUGCCUGAAAGUACAUUUUAAAAGUUAACAGUAUGGAAUUUCAUUAUUGUGAUAAGAUUUUAUAUUAAUUGUGCUGUUAGGAGUUUUGGCUGUUUUUGUUUUGUUUUGUUUUUUUGGUAACAUUGUAGCCUACAAGUGUAAACCCUGAAAAUGAUUCCAGAAAUUUAUUUGGGGUUCAGAUUCACAUGUUGUAGGUUAGUUAUAUACUAACUUGUUUUAAGAUGAAGAGAGAUAAUUUUUUUAUUUUAAAAUUACUUUUAGAUUUUUUUUAGAUUGGGAGGCCAGUAUGGGAGGAUCACUUGAGCCCAGAAGUUUGAGACCAGCCUGGGCAACAUAGUGAGACCCCGUCUCUGUAAAUAAUUUUAAAAUUAGCUGAGUGCUGGUACAUGCCUGUAGUCCCAGCUGCCCAGGAGGCUAAGGCAGGAGCAUUGCUAGAGCCCAGGAGUUUGAGGCUGCAGUGAGCCGUGAUCACACCACUGCAGUACAGCCUGAGUGACAGAGUGAGCACUGGCAAAUUUUAAAAUUUUCUGUAAAGACUCACUAUGUUGCCCAGGCUAGCCUUGAACUCCUGGCCUCAAGCAGUCCUCCCAUAUUGGCCUCUCAAGGCGCUGGGAUUACAGGUAUGAGCUACUGUGCUGGCCAAGAGAGAAUUUUUCUUAUUCACAAAUAAUGUUCACAGUAAGAAUUUACUUAAAAUUUUUUUAAAGUAAAAAGAACUGGCUGGGCACAGUGGCUCACGCCUGUAAAUCCCAGCACUUUGGGAAGCCAAGGUGGGUGGAUCACUUGAGGCCAGGAGUUCAAGACCAGCCUGGCCAACAUUGCAAAAGCCCAUCUCUACUAAAAAUACAAAAUUAGCCAGGUGUGGUGGCACACGCCUGUAAUUCCAGCUACUUGGGAGGGUGAGGUAUGAGAAUCUCUUGAACCUGGGAGGCUGAGGUGGCGCCAUUGUACUCCAGCCUGGGCGACAGAGCAAGACUCUGCCUCAAAAAAAACAAAACAAAACAAAACAAAAACAACAAAAAACCAACAAAAAAAGAACUUACGUGUAAGAAUUUAAAUUAGUGAUGAAAGAAGAAACUGUAAAAAGUACUCCAGUAAGCCAGGCAUAGUGGUGCAUGUAUGUAGUCCGAGCUAUGCAGGAGGCUGAGGCAGGAGUAUCACUUGAGACCAGGAAUUAAAGACCAGCCUGAGCAAAAUAUGUAAUUAAAAAAAAAAUUACUGUAGUCUGUGUUCCUUAAAUUUAGGUUUCAUACAUUCUUAGAAUUAUAAUACUUUUUCAUGGCUGGGCACAGUGGUGCAUGCCUGUAAUCCCAGCACUUUGGGAGGCCGAGGUGGGCAGAUCACUUGAGGUCAGGAGUUUGAGACCAACCUGCCCAACAUGGUAAAACCCUGUCUCUACUAAAAAUACAAAAAUGAGCUGAGCAUGGUGACAAGGGCCUCUAGUCUUAGCUAUUCAGGAGGCUGAGGCAAGAGAAUCGCUUGAACCCAGGAGGCGGAGGUUGCAGUGAGCUGAGAUCGCGCCACUGCACUCCAGCCUGGGUGACAGAGCAAGACUC